rnacentral:lncRNA from 1 species
GGGGCUGUCCUUGGGUCCCCUCCCCACAGCAGAUGCUGCCCCCAGGACUAGCCCAUUCCUCUGUGGCCUCAGACCCUGCCCACAGCGGAGCUGCAGGCCAGAGAGAUCCCUGAGGUCAGCGAGGGGUCAGCUGGGCAGGAGUUGGGCUGUGCCGCCCCGCAGUGCCCAGCCUGUGCUGGGAUCCCCUGAGGGAAAGGGGAGGGAGAAGGCCCCGCCAGGCCUGUGAAGGGCAGGCGGGUCCCAGCAAGGUGUCGCUAGUGUGAAGUUACCCACCGCUACCCAGAGACCCCAGCUGGCCCGGAGCAUCAGCCUUGCCCCUCGAUUGAGGCCUGCAGAGGGAACGAUCGCGCUCCACUCUCCGGACCGAGCUGCUCCCGGACCCACCUCACAGCACAGCCCUCAGUGGAGUCCAAGUCCCACCCCAAGGGCAGGACACCAGUGUUUCAAAUAAAGAAGAAACCCCACUCCUGACAUGGGGGAAGGAAGAGGGGACAAAAAACAAAGCACUCUUCACGUCAGCCAGCUCUUCAAACUCUGCCCAAGAGGAUAAGGGCAGCAGCGGCCUGGAUGAGGGGAGGAGCUGGGCGUGCCCGGGUGCUCUGAGGAGCCUGUCCCUGUUCCCGCCAGAGGGGACGCAGCCGGGCUGGCCUCAGGUCUGCGCUUCCGGCUGUUAACUACUCUUCUUAGUUCAGAUCUGGAACUCAGCAUCAGGGGAGUGUGAUCAGGGCCCCCCUGAGGGUGGCCCCAGCUGCAACUCCAGGGUAAGGAGUGUGGGCUCUGGGGUCAGACAGCCUGGGUUCGAAUCCCAGCCUCACUGUUCCAUAGCCCUGUGACCUUGGGCAAGUGACCAAGUUACUUAGUUUUUCUGUCCCUCAGUUUCCGCCACGGUAAAAUGAGAAUGACAGAAGUGCCUAGAC